GGAAAAUCUGAGUACUUGGUUUGGCGUCAGAAGAUUUGAGCUGGAGCCUGGGCACUGCUAUGUGAAUCUGGGAAAGUCAUUUGAAUUUUCCAAGCCUUGAUGUUUUUAUCUGUAAAACUGGAGUGAUGGUACUGCUUGUUGCCUACUUCAAGGGGUUGUUGGAAGGGGAGAGGAAAAUUAACGUCAGAUGAUAAGACACAGAAAAUGCAAAACACAGUGGGAUGUUAUGAACACUCAAGGAAGGGGAAACCAAAUGGAGGAGCUACGUCAACAUUUAAUCUGAAUAAAAGAUGCAGCACCCCUAACUCCCUGCUGAGUGCAUCCUCUCAUCUGAAGCCACUUCUAAGGACUUUUGUAGAAAUGUUGACUCUUGAGCCAAAGGAUUACAGUGAACAUGCGUCUCUGAGUGAUACUGGAGGAGAUUUCAGCUCCCAAAGACCUCUGAGAGGAGGGCAAAUGUUCAGAGAGGGCAAGUGGACAGUGGAAUCACUAGGUUUACCUCAUCCUUUGUUUACUUGGGAGAAUGAACUUCUUGCCUGUCAGGGGGGUCCGCUCAGCUCUAAAUCGUGAGGUGAAUCCAGAUUACUUGCCUGUGGUGGACGGAGCAGGGGACAGAGAUUCUUCCAGCAGAGGGAACAGGUCAGC
rnacentral:lncRNA from 1 species